AUUGAACGCUGGCGGCAGGCCUAACACAUGCAAGUCGAGCGGAGGAAGGGAGCUUGCUCCUGGAUUCAGCGGCGGACGGGUGAGUAAUGCCUAGGAAUCUGCCUGGUAGUGGGGGAUAACGUCCGGAAACGGGCGCUAAUACCGCAUACGUCCUGAGGGAGAAAGUGGGGGAUCUUCGGACCUCACGCUAUCAGAUGAGCCUAGGUCGGAUUAGCUAGUUGGUGGGGUAAAGGCCUACCAAGGCGACGAUCCGUAACUGGUCUGAGAGGAUGAUCAGUAACACUGGCACUGAGACACGGUCCAGACUCCUACGGGAGGCAGCAGUGGGGAAUAUUGGACAAUGGGCGAAAGCCUGAUCCAGCCAUGCCGCGUGUGUGAAGAAGGUCUUCGGAUUGUAAAGCACUUUCAGUUGGGAGGAAGGGCAGUAAGUUAAUACCUUGCUGUUUUGACGUUACCAACAGAAUAAGCACCGGCUAACUUCGUG
rnacentral:rRNA from 1 species